UCAAACUUGGUCAUUUAGAGGAAGUAAAAGUCGUAACAAGGUUUCCGUAGGUGAACCUGCGGAAGGAUCAUUAGAAAAUCCAGGAGUGUUUAACACUCUUGGGCACUUUUCUAACCACAAUGUUGACCAUUACCUCUGUUGCUUCCACAGUAAAGCAAUUUUUUUGCUCUACUGUGAAUGGAUUACAUCUAUAACCUUUGUAAAUAGUUAUGUAUUUGUCUGAUAAUGAAAAAUAAAAUGUUUUAAAACUUUCAACAACGGAUCUCUUGGCUCCUGCAUCGAUGAAGAACGCAGC
rnacentral:misc_RNA from 1 species